rnacentral:rRNA from 1 species
AUGGUUACUAUGGAUUUUGUCGAGGGAUUGCCUGUCUCUGGCCGCUACAAUUGUCUGUUGGUGGUCAUCGAUAAGCUGUCAAAGUAUGGACAUUUUGUUCCUUUGCAUCAUCCGUUUACUGCAGAGUCUGUGGCUGAAGCAUUUCUGAAUACAGUUUACAGAUUACAUGGCAUGCCGCUGUCUAUUGUUUCUGAUCACGACCGAGUGUUUACUAGCAAGUUUUGGAAGGAGUUAUUUCAGAGGUUUGGUGUUCUACUCAGAAUGAGCACGGCUCGCCACCCACAAUCGGAUGGGCAGACAAAAAGAGUUAAUCAGCAAGUCGAAUGUUUUCUCAGGUGUUUUGUCAGUGCUCAUCCUUCUCGAUGGGCCAAAUGGAUUCCAUUAUGUGGAAAAGUUCUGGUAUAA